CUUUUUGGGGAUAGAGGGACUUGAACCCUCACGAUUUUUAAAGUCGACGG
rnacentral:tRNA from 2 species